AGGAUUCUCUCUCCAUGAUUUCACCAGAUCCUUUCUACCUGCAGACUGGACUACCGAAUCAGUGGGUCUUCUAAUAGCUGCCCUCGUUUUAAUCUUCAUGCCCCUGGGGGUAAUUAUUGGGCAGUUUUGUGAGCUGUGUCAUCGACUGUGGUCGAGUACUUAGGACGGCUGUAAAGCCGAAUGGCCAGUGAUUUAUAAGCUGGCAGGAGCUCUGAUCAUACCAGUCGGGUUUGGUGCGAUUAUCCAGGUGUACAGAAACGUAUCAAGAUACUUACAAAGAAGUAAGUUAAAUUUCUUCGAGAUGGAGGCAGAUGAACCGAACGAGCAGUCUGAACACGAGAGUGAGCCUGAGGCUGCCGAGCCAGCA